rnacentral:rRNA from 1 species
AGAGUUUGAUCCUGGCUCAGGAUGAACGCUGGCGGCGUGCCUAACACAUGCAAGUCGAGCGGUAUAUAUUGGAAUGAAACUUCGGUCGAGUGAAGAUAUAGAGAGCGGCGGACGGGUGAGUAACGCGUGGGCAACCUGCCCCAUACAGAGGGAUAGCCUCGGGAAACCGGGAUUAAAACCUCAUAAAGCCAUUGAUUCACAUGUUUCGAUGGCCAAAGAUUUAUCGGUAUGGGAUGGGCCUGCGUCUGAUUAGCUAGUUGGUGAGGUAACGGCCCACCAAGGCAACGAUCAGUAGCCGACCUGAGAGGGUAAUCGGCCACAUUGGAACUGAGACACGGUCCAAACUCCUACGGGAGGCAGCAGUGGGGAAUAUUGCACAAUGGGCGAAAGCCUGAUGCAGCAACGCCGCGUGAGCGAUGAAGGCCUUUGGGUCGUAAAGCUCUGUCCGAGGGGAAGAUAAUGACGGUACCCUUGGAGGAAGCCCCGGCUAACUACGUGCCAGCAGCCGCGGUAAUACGUAGGGGGCAAGCGUUAUCCGGAAUUAUUGGGCGUAAAGAGUGCGUAGGUGGUUCUUUAAGCGUGAGGUGAAAGGCAAUGGCUUAACCAUUGUAAGCCUUGCGAACUGGGGGACUUGAGUGCAGGAGAGGUAAGUGGAAUUCCUAGUGUAGCGGUGAAAUGCGUAGAUAUUAGGAGGAACACCAGUGGCGAAGGCGACUUACUGGACUGUAACUGACACUGAGGCACGAAAGCGUGGGGAUCAAACAGGAUUAGAUACCCUGGUAGUCG